GAUGAACGCUGGCGGCGUGCCUAAUACAUGCAAGUCGAGCGAACGGACGAGAAGCUUGCUUCUCUGAUGUUAGCGGCGGACGGGUGAGUAACACGUGGAUAACCUCCCUAUAAGACUGGGAUAACUUCGGGAAACCGGAGCUAAUACCGGAUAAUAUUUUGAACCGCAUGGUUCAAUAGUGAAAGACGGUCUUGCUGUCACUUAUAGAUGGAUCCGCGCUGCAUUAGCUAGUUGGUAAGGUAACGGCUUACCAAGGCAACGAUGCAUAGCCGACCUGAGAGGGUGAUCGGCCACACGGGAACUGAGACACGGUCCAGACUCCUACGGGAGGCAGCAGUAGGGAAUCUUCCGCAAUGGGCGAAAGCCUGACGGAGCAACGCCGCGUGAGUGAUGAAGGUCUUCGGAUCGUAAAACUCUGUUAUUAGGGAAGAACAUAUGUGUAAGUAACUGUGCACAUCUUGACGGUACCUAAUCAGAAAGCCACGGCUAACUACGUG
rnacentral:rRNA from 1 species